GACGAACGCUGGCGGCGUGCUUAACACAUGCAAGUCGAACGGAAAGGCCCUGCUUUUGUGGGGUGCUCGAUUGGCGAACGGGUGAGUAACACGUGAGUAACCUGCCCUUGACUUUCGGAUAACUUCAGGAAACUGGGGCUAAUAUCGGAUAGGAUCUCCUGCAGCAUGGUGGGGGUUGGAAAGUUUCGGCGGUAGGGGCUGGACUCGCGGCUUAUCAGCUUGUUGGUGGGGUAGUUGCUUACCAAGGCUUUGACGGGUAGCCGGCCUGAGAGGGGGACCGGCCACAAUGGGACUGAGAUACGGCGCAGACUCGUACGGGAGGCAGCAGUGGGGAGUAUUACACAGUGGGCCGAAGCCUGAUGCAGCAACGCCGCGUGCGGGAUGCCGGGCUUCGGGUUGUGAACAGCUUUCGCCUGUGACGAAGCGUGAGUGACGGUAAUGGGUAAAGAAGCACCGGCUAACUACGUG
rnacentral:rRNA from 1 species